rnacentral:rRNA from 1 species
AGUGAACGCUGGCGGUAGGCCUAACACAUGCAAGUCGAACGGCAGCACAGUAAGAGCUUGCUCUUACGGGUGGCGAGUGGCGGACGGGUGAGGAAUACAUCGGAAUCUACUUUUUCGUGGGGGAUAACGUAGGGAAACUUACGAUAAUACCGCAUACGACCUACGGGUGAAAGCAGGGGAUAUUCGGACCUUGCCCGAUUGAAUGAGCCGAUGUCGGAUUAGCUAGUUGGCGGGGUAAAGGCCCACCAAGGCGACGAUCCGUAGCUGGUCUGAGAGGAUGAUCAGCCACACUGGAACUGAGACACGGUCCAGACUCCUACGGGAGGCAGCAGUGGGGAAUAUUGGACAAUGGGCGCAAGCCUGAUCCAGCCAUACCGCGUGGGUGAAGAAGGCCUUCGGGUUGUAAAGCCCUUUUGUUGGGAAAGAAAAGCAGCAGGUUAAUACCCCGCUGUUCUGACGGUACCCAAAGAAUAAGCACCGGCUAACUUCGUG